rnacentral:rRNA from 1 species
GGCCGCGGGAAUUCGAUUGGAUCGCCCUUAGAGUUUGAUCAUGGCUCAGAACUAACGCUGGCGGCGUGCCUAACACAUGCAAGUCGUACGAGAAAGUCGGCUUCGGCCGAUAAGUAAAGUGGCGCACGGGUGAGUAACACGUGGAUAACCUCCCCUUCAGUCGGGAAUAACCUACCGAAAGGUUUGCUAAUACCCGAUAACAGCGGUCCAUUCCGAUGGAUCGGUCAAAGAUGGCCUCUGCUUGCAAGCUAUCGCUGAUGGAUGGGUCCGCGUACCAUUAGCUAGUUGGUAGGGUAAUGGCCUACCAAGGCUGUGAUGGUUAGCUGGUCUGAGAGGAUGACCAGCCACACUGGAACUGAGACACGGUCCAGACUCCUACGGGAGGCAGCAGUGAGGAAUAUUGCGCAAUGGGGGAAACCCUGACGCAGCGACGCCGCGUGAGUGAGGAAGGCCUUCGGGUCGUAAAGCUCUGUCAGAUGGGAAGAAAUGGUUGAGUGCUAAUAUCGCUCAUCCUUGACGGUACCAUCAGAGGAAGCACCGGCUAACUCCGUGCCAGCAGCCGCGGUAAUACGGAGGGUGCAAGCGUUGUUCGGAAUUAUUGGGCGUAAAGCGCGUGUAGGCGGUAGGGUAAGUCAGAUGUGAAAGCCCUGGGCUCAACCCAGGAAGUGCAUUUGAAACUGCUCUGCUAGAGUGGGGGAGAGGAAAGUGGAAUUCCUGGUGUAGAGGUGAAAUUCGUAGAUAUCAGGAGGAACACCGGUGGCGAAGGCG